rnacentral:rRNA from 1 species
GAUGAACGCUAGCGGCAGGCCUAACACAUGCAAGUCGAGGGGUAGUGGUCUUCGGACAAUGAGACCGGCGCACGGGUGCGUAACGCGUAUGCAAUCUACCUUAUACUAAGGGAUAGCCCAGAGAAAUUUGGAUUAAUACCUUAUAGUUAAUAGAGUUGGCAUCGACUUCAUUAUAAAGAUUAAUUGGUAUAAGAUGAGCAUGCGUCCCAUUAGUUAGUUGGUAAGGUAACGGCUUACCAAGACGAUGAUGGGUAGGGGUCCUGAGAGGGAGAUCCCCCACACUGGUACUGAGAAACGGACCAGACUCCUACGGGAGGCAGCAGUGGGGAAUAUUGGUCAAUGGGCGCAAGCCUGAACCAGCCAUGCCGCGUGCAGGAUGAAGCAUCUAUGGUGUGUAAACUGCUUUUGUACGGGAAGAAAAAAAGCUACGUGUAGCUUACUGACGGUACCGUAAGAAUAAGGAUCGGCUAACUCCGUGCCAGCCGCCGCGGUAA